GAUGAACGCUGGCGGCGUGCCUAAAGCAUGCAAGUCGUGCGGUAACAGGGAGAGCUUGCUCUCUGCUGACGAGCGGCGGACGGCUGAGUAACGCGUGGGAAUCUGCCCCAAAGUGAGGGAUAACUGCCCGAAAGGGUGGCUAAUACCGCAUAUGGUCUACGGAUUAAAGGAGUAAUCCGCUUUGGGAGGAGCCCGCGUAAGAUUAGAUAGUUGGUGAGGUAAUGGCUCACCAAGUCGACGAUCUUUAACUGGUUUGAGAGGAUGAUCAGUCAGACUGGAACUGAGACACGGUCCAGACUCCUACGGGAGGCAGCAGUUAGGAAUAUUCCACAAUGGGGGCAACCCUGAUGGAGCAACGCCGCGUGGGUGAAGAAGGCCUGCGGGUUGUAAAGCCCUUUCGGUAGGGACGAAAGCUCUCGACCUAAUACGUCGGGAGGUUGACUUAACCUACAGAAGAAGCACCGGCUAAC
rnacentral:rRNA from 1 species